rfam:Mycobacterium sp. NE-TNMC-100812 PROKKA_contig000290, whole genome shotgun sequence.
GCGCCGUUAGCUCAGUUGGUAGAGCAGCUGACUCUUAAUCAGCGGGUCCGGGGUUCGAAACCCUGACGGCGCA